CAUCAUCAUAAUUUUUCUUAUUUCUGCAGCAGGCAAUAAUUCUGCAAGAGCUCCCGAGGAAGAAAAAAAAUCUGAAGGUUCCAUUUUGGUUUUUUUGUCCUUUUUUCUAAUCAAAAUGUUAAAAUAACUUUUCCACACAUUCCUGAGUUUCUUUUCUUCUUCAAACUGAAGAAUUUGCAGAUAUGUCAGUGGGAAAAUCUGCAGAGAAGUUCCACAACAGUCGUUCCCCAGGUACGUGAGAUCUGAUGUCAAGCAAAUGAAUUGACAACGAUAAUAUGCUAGAAAUACAACCAAACACCCUUUCUGACAGUUUCAGUGCCAGAAGCUCCUGAGCAAACUGGAGGUGAAAGCAGAGGUGCAGUAUAAACCUUCACACUGUCUGCAACACUGACGCUGGCGCUGAAACAACUUCUGUCUUUCUGUGAUGCGUUCAAAGACCUCGGCAGCCGUGAGACCCUCAGGUCUCCUUCCAGGAGGACAGGAGGAGUGAACAGUGACGACGUGCAGUCGGCGGACACCACAAGCACGCUGCAGCAGGACCUCAGGAGCUCGGACCACAGCGGGCCUCAGGGGGAACAGCAGGCCAGCGGAGAGCACACUGAUCUGAACAGUGAGGAAGAAGCAAUGAUGCGGCCUCAGGACACUGGGAGCCUGUCAGGAACUCACUGCAGAGACACCGGCGGGGUGAAGCGUAGGUUGGCUCCAAGCCAGAGUGGAGAAAGGCCAGAUGAAGAGAGUUUGGAGGAAAGACUGGCUGCAGUGGGUAAAGCUCGAGAUGCAGACGAUGACGAAACCCGGGAGUACAUGAGUUCUGAAAUACAUCCGUAUGCACGUCCAGGACCCGGUCCCAUCCAGCCAUCUUUUCCUGCAUGGAGUCGUACCUCCUGAUGCUCAUAGCGGAGAUUGGACUUCUUCCUCCUCGUGAUUCAGGGACCUGUGUCUGUUGACUCACCAGUAGCAGACACUCUUCUUCCACAAGUUUUGGAACUUUUUCCAUCCUAUAUUUAGAUUUUUACAUGUAUCUUUUUUCCCCUGGCAUCAUGUGAAGAAGACUUGAAAAUUAAAAGGUU
rnacentral:lncRNA from 1 species